rnacentral:lncRNA from 1 species
GCAUCAUGCUUCUUACCGAAUAAGAGGCAGUCCAUUAAGAGGCAAUCAGAUGUAAACAAACAGCACCUUAGCCUUUUAUGUUUUGUUUGUUUCAUGCAUAAAAAAAUAUCAGAUAUGAUAAAAAAGUAGAAAGAAAAUUACACCUUUGCGAGAACUGGUGGAAGUAGUUGAUGCAGGGAGGCUGAUAGGGGUCAUGCUAAGGGACAUUUAGAAUCCAAGGGGCUGACUGCAGGGGGAGGGAGCUCAACCAUAUAGGACUAGCUCUCCACCCCCCCAACAUAGUUAGCCAUUGCAAAACAUUAAGUCUCAAACUAUAGUGAUAGAGAGAGGAAGAGAGCUCAUACUAGGAUAAGGAUUGACGAGAACUAUAUAGUUAGCCAUCUUUAAUAUAUUAACUGUCCAUUUAUUUUUUAAUUUGUUUGAUCAUAUAUGGUUGGGGCUGUUGUUGUUGUGUUGUGUUUGGGGACCAUGAAGGGUCCAGAAGUCAUAAGGUUGGGAUAUAUAAAGGAGAACUUGUGCUUUGUAUGUAUAAAUAAAACCAUGUAGUGUGCUUAUAUGGAUUGCACUUACAAUGUUUGAUAUAAUGCUUGAGAGAGAGUUUUUUGGUGCUAUAUGUUAUGUUAACUAUGUAGUCAAACCAAACUUGGGGCCAUAAUUACCUUUCCAGAAAAAAAAACUGCAAGCCGAGGUUAAUACAUAAUAAAAAUGUAAAAGGAUAUAUCUUUUAUUAUUAUAUUUAAAUGUUAAUAAUAGUAAAAUUUCGUAUAUGAUUAGAUUUUAUUGGUAGAAAGAAUAUGACUGUACUAUAACACUAUCAAAGUCAAAAACCUUAUGGAAAUAGGAGUUGAUUAUGGUAAAGGAGAUAAUUGUGGUAGUAGGAAUUAGAGUUGUAAUAGGACACUAACAAAAUCAAAAGCCAUUUUGAAAUAGGAGAUGAAAUAUAAUAAAGAGAUAAUUAUGAGAACGGAAACUAAGUCGUUUUGUGCUUUUUUAUAUGUUAUGUAAUAUAAAUAGAUGUCACAUUUAAUCCAAGUGGUGGAUAACUCAUGGCAGUUGAGACCAAUAUAUGUUGAUCGAUUGGACUUCAGUGACCAUCACUUACUUCAAAUUGAGGUAUAUAUUAUACUUUAUUGGCUUGAAGUUGGUACAAAUUCACAUAUCCAGUUCUAGGUAGGAUAUGAGAAUGCUUUUGUCUGAGGAAUACAUUAUAUGAUUAUAUCUCUUACGAGCAAAAAAAAAAUGAUUCUUCUGGAUUCUUUGUAGCUGAAUUUUUAUUGCAAAUGAUACUUGAUUAUGGAACAACAUUUUAUAUUAAGCAGAUGGAGGAGAAUAUUGUUGCUUUUCCUUUUUUUAUCCCUUUCAUCUCCAACCCUGGCUGUUUUUGUCUUUCUACUGUCAAUAAAUCUAGGAUAUUGAGAUCAAAAUGAGACUCCAAAAACUUCAACUCAAGUUUGCUUCCAAGCCAAUUGUCGUUAUAACUGAAAAUGUUAGUUGGUUUUGAAUAUGUAAUGAAAAUAUGUAUCAAGAAAUUUUGUUUGCCAUUUGGUUCAUACUAAUAUAGGGCAUUUAGCUAUUUUCCUUUGUAAAUGAGAUAAUUUGAUGCACAAUUUAUUCUUGGUGUGCGGCAAGCGUCAACGAAUUGAACAAUAUGUGAAGAGUUGUCGAAGGAAUCCAUCCAUUGAUGUCACUCCAUCUGUUGAAUUUUCAAAAUGACAUUUAAAAAAGGUUGUCCUCUACUUCCUUCUUUGUGACCUCAUCACUUAAAUUUUUAAUUUUUUGGUUCUUCUUUUAUCUAAUUAGUGUGCUCUGUGAUUUGGAAUCCUCACAUUCUCAAAUGUCUCACACGUGUUAUUGGGUAUACAGUCUGGGAAGUAGUUUUAAUAUAUGACAAUGUAAACGAUCAUGGAUUAAGUAUUUCUACUGAAUGUUCUUAUUAAGUAGCAUAGGUAUUUAAACUAUGCUAAUAUUUGGACAUAUGUUGCUAUAAGUAGUAGCUACAUUGUCACCUAAUAUGUUGUGUUAUGCUUUGUUCAUGUUAGGAGCAAGCUUAUUGUUAUUUGCAAGUUUCUGUGCAGCUAACCAAGGAAAGGAAACUACUAGAAAGUUCAUUUCACAUGUUUACAUUAGGCCAACUAUUAGGUAGGUAGUUUUUUUAAAUUUUGAAUAGUUAUGAGCUUGAUGUUUACUGCAUUAUUUACAAGGGAAUGGUUAGAGGUAGAUAUUUUCAAGCUAUUGUGUCAUGUACUGCGUUUCAUACACACAUUACUCAAAAUUACCUCACAAUGUGGCACUGCUAAUUUGAACACUGAUUUUGUUUUCAGGCCAUUGCAAUUGAAGGCUGUUUCUUGAAUGAAGGUUCUAAGCUUGUAGUUUACCCAAAUAUUUUGCUAUAUGCUUGGAUUGAAUAGUUUGAGCAUUGGCUUUCUAAUUGAAUUUUUAAGAGAUUUUUUAAACCUUGGCAUACCCUUUUAUUCUCUUUUUGUUAUGGAUUGUAAAAAGUUAAGUUGAGGCAACCCUUUCUUUACAGUAAAUAAAUUACAAAUGUACGGAAAAAAUAAAUCAGUUGGCUACACUUUGGCCAAGAAAAAUUGAAAAAAAAUAGAAAAAGGGAAGAGUAGAAAAAUGAUUUGUCCACAAGUUGAGGUCACUUAUUUUGCCACCAGCCUAAAAACAAUAAUCAGAUACUUAUAGUGUAAUGCACAUAUCGGUAAACUCUCACCACUACCCUUACAAUGUAUAUUUAUUUGUUUUUUUGUGUAAAAUUUUAUCAUCAC